rnacentral:rRNA from 1 species
CACCAUUCCGAUUGAAUAUACCCGAUCUCGUCUGAUCUCGGAAGUCAAGCAAUCUCGGGCUUGGUUAGUACUUGGAUGGGUGACCGCUUGGGCAUUAAGUAUUACUGUAC